AUGAAAUAAAUGUCAAAAAAAAAAUUUUAAAAAAUUAAUAAUUUUUUAAAAUUCGAUUUCAAUAGCAAAAUUUCCAGUUAAAAUGUAUUCAAAUACAGCUCCUUGCAGACCAUCAUUAUUACUACGUUGCAAGUCGCCUCCGUGCAGUUGUGAAAAGUGCCAGGAUAUUCGCAGAAGAAAAACCAAUGAUAUUUGUUUAGAAAACUGUAUAAGCUGUCCCGAUCUCUUGGAUUCUGAGUCGAGUUGUGACAGUUUGGGAGCUAGAUCGGCUUCUAAAUCUCCUCCAGUCAAUAUCUAUUCAGCCUUAUUUGAUGUUUUUGGAAUAACUGCAUUUGUUAUAAUGACGGCCCUGACAUUUUGGGCAACGGUCUGCUAUUAUUUGUGGAACUUUGCGGUGUAUAUUUAUCAAUCGGGAAGAAAGGCCCAAAUAAUCACCCUGGCUCUACUAUCGAUUAUUCUCAUUGGCAUUGUAUACCAUGGCAUUAAGGGUCAUAAUAAGCGAGUAACUCAUCUGGAAAUACCAAACAAUGCGACCACCGACAUAAACUCUUCCGAAAGCUUUGUGAGUUUUAUGGGUCAAGAAAAUCCCAGGCAAAAAGGUGGCGCCGAAUUGCCACUCUGUAAACAUGGCAAGAAAUCUCCAACGGAUUGUGGCAGUAACAAAUCAUCCACUUCCUUGUGUGACCUCUGCUCAAAAUAUUACAAAAAAUCUUCGGUGGAGAAGAAAAGUUCAAUGUCCGAUGCACAAGCUCGUCAAAUGUUUGAGAAAUUCAAAUUUUAUAGCAUUCCAAGUGAAUGGAAAUCCCCACCAGCAUUUGUGGUUUUCCUUGUGGACUAUUUGGCCAGUCUGUUUGGCAAUCCUUCUGGGGGAAGUGAUAAUCAUGUGAAUUGAAAUUUUUUAAUUUCCCGUUGUUGCUUGGCUUUUUUUCGAAUCUAACGUUGUGUUCACAUCCAGCUCCAUUGUCUAACUGACCAUAUUUUCCACAAAACAGCAACUAACUCUCAAUUAGCCACUAACCGUUAUGUUGCAUGCAACAUGCUUCUUCCUCUUUGGUGAAAUUCAAGUUUCUGUGGCUAAUCUUGUUCUUGGUGGCCGUAUAUAAAAUUAGAUGUGAUUUUCCCAUAGAGAAUACUCUAUAAUGGGUAAUAGAAGACUAAGAGAAAAAUUAAAC